rnacentral:rRNA from 1 species
UACGUAGGCAGCAAGCGUUGUUCGGAAUUACUGGGCGUAAAGAGUGUGUAGGCGGUGCUCUAAGUCUGUUGUGAAAUCUCCCGGCUUAACUGGGAGGGUGCGGCGGAGACUGGAGUGCUAGAGUGUGGGAGAGGUAAGCGGAAUUCCUGGUGUAGCGGUGAAAUGCGUAGAUAUCAGGAGGAACACCGGUGGUGUAGGCGGCCUGCUGGACCAUAACUGACGCUGAGGCACGAAAGCGUGGGGAGCAAACAGG